rnacentral:precursor_RNA from 10 species
UUGAAGUUAGUUAAGUCCUUUAUGCGUUCCCCUCUCACACAUUCGUCAUAGUGACACUCAAACACUGGACGGAAGUCUGAUAAGGGAUCGCUAAGGGCACUUCUUCAAAAGUCAAGG